AAGUGUUACAACUCUUUUAGAAUUUGUCUAGCAGGUUUUUCUGGUUUUCAUUGGAAGACCCCC
rnacentral:snRNA from 1 species